AAUGAACGCUGGCGGCGUGCCUAAGACAUGCAAGUCGCACGAGAAAGUAGCAAUAUGAGUAAAGUGGCGCACGGGUGAGUAAUAUUUAGGUAAUAUGCCUUUCCGCGGGGAAUAACUAGGCGAAAGCUUAGCUAAUACCGCAUGAUCCGAUGAUGGCUCAGGUCAUUUUCGGUAAAGCCGUAAGGCGCGGAAAGAGUAGCCUGAAUCCCAUUAGCUAGUUGGUAAGGUAACGGCUUACCAAGGCUUUGAUGGGUAGGUGGUCUGAGAGGGCGAUCACCCACACUGGAACUGAGACACGGUCCAGACUCCUACGGGAGGCAGCAGUUAGGAAUCUUGCGCAAUGGGAGAAAUCCUGACGCAGCAACGCCGCGUGAGGGACGAAGGCCUUCGGGUUGUAAACCUCUUUUGGUUGGGACGAUUCAGGACGGUACCAACAGAAAAAGCACCGGCUAACUCUGUGCCAGCAGCCGCGGUGAUACAGAGGGUGCUAGCGUUAUUCGGAAUUACUGGGCGUAAAGCGCGCGCGGGCUGUUUGGCAAGUCUACUGUGAAAGCCUCCGUUUCAAGCGGAGAAGUGCAGUAGAUACUACCAGACUAGAGUGCAGGAGGGAGGAGCGGAAUUCCAGGUGUAGAGGUGAAAUUCGUAGAUAUCUGGAGGAACAACGGUGGCGAAGGCGGCUCCUUGGACUGUAACUGACGCUGAGGCGCGAAAGCGUGGGGAGCAAACAGGAUUAGAUACCCUGGUAGUCCACGCUGUAAACGAUGGUCACUAGAUGUCGGGAGAACUUACCCUUCCGGUGUCGUAGCUAACGCGUUAAGUGACCCGCCUGAGUAUUACGGCCGCAAGGUUAAAACUCAAAGAAAUUGACGGGGGCCCGCACAAGCAGUGGAGUAUGUGGUUUAAUUCGAGGCAACGCGAAGAACCUCACCUGGGUUUGACAUCCGAGGCUAUCCUAUGAAAGUAGGAGUUCCCGCAAGGGACCUCGAGACAGGUGCUGCAUGGCUGUCGUCAGCUCGUGUCGUGAGAUGUUGGGUUAAGUCCCGCAACGAGCGCAACCCUUGUCCUUAGUUGCCAGCAUUAAGUUGGGCACUCUAGGGAGACCGCUUGCCGAUAAGGCAGAGGAAGGUAGGGAUGACGUCAAGUCCGCAUGGCCCUUACGCCCAGGGCCACACACGUACUACAAUGGUAGACACAGAGCGUCGCAAACCCGCGAGGGGGAGCUAAUCGCAGAAAUUCUAUCUCAGUUCGGAUUGGAGUCUGCAACUCGACUCCAUGAAGUUGGAAUUGCUAGUAAUCGCGGAUCAGCACGCCGCGGUGAAUACGUUCCCGGGCCUUGUACACACCGCCCGUCACGCCAUGGGAGUUGGUAGUACCCGAAGAGAUUUUACUAACCGCAAGGAGGUAAAUUUCAACGGUAAUACCGAUGACUGGGGUG
rnacentral:rRNA from 1 species